GUGCUCCUGCAGCAGUGUCCUGCAGCGCUCCACGCACUCUGCAGCAAGCGGGAACCGAAGCAGGAAGCUCUUUAUGGGAAAACAGACGCUGGGAGCUGCAUGGAGAAACAUCAAUCCUCCUGCCUCUUCUUCUGCUGCUGCUGCUUCACUCUGAGCAGAGGAAAAACAUGGACACAAGAAUCUGCUCAGAUGGUCGAGUCAAAUAAUCCCAGUUUCAUGGGGAAGAGAUUGUGAAAAUAUGAAAUGCUUUUCACAUGCCGCAUCGCAGCUCAACCAAUGUAGAAAUGUUACCUGAAUAAACAUGUCUGUGCUUCAUAACAGGCUAUAAAAGUU